rnacentral:rRNA from 1 species
GUCCCAGACUCCUACGGGAGGCAGCAGUGGGGAAUAUUGCACAAUGGGGGAAACCCUGAUGCAGCAACGCCGCGUGAGUGAAGAAGUAUUUCGGUAUGUAAAGCUCUAUCAGCAGGGAAGAAAAUGACGGUACCUGAGUAAGAAGCCCCGGCUAACUACGUGCCAGCAGCCGCGGUAAUACGUAGGGGGCAAGCGUUAUCCGGAUUUACUGGGUGUAAAGGGAGCGUAGACGGCGAUACAAGUCUGAAGUGAAAGCCCGGGGCUCAACCCCGGGACUGCUUUGGAAACUGUGUUGCUGGAGUGUCGGAGAGGCAGGCGGAAUUCCUAGCGUAGCGGUGAAAUGCGUAGAUAUUAGGAGGAACACCAGUGGCGAAGGCGGCCUGCUGGACGAUGACUGACGUUGAGGCUCGAAAGCGUGGGGAGCAAACAGGAUUAGAUACCCCCGUA